CCCACGAUACCACUUUCAAAGGCUAAUCUUGGAUUAACAAGAAAUUAGAGCAUAUAUAUUGUAAGUUCUGUAUUUUUCUCGUGUUAAAUCUGAUUGCUGCUUAUCUCCCUAUUUUGUAUAUCUCCCUUAAAGCAUACAAAGGUGAUCAAAUCACUACAUUACUGGAAUUUUGACAUUCACCAUUUGCAUGGAAAUUCUGUUUAGUCUGGAUUGUCUAAGAAACUCCGUCAAUUAGAUUUCAUUGUCAGCCUUGGUAGCUGGAUGGGGAAUCAGCUGCAGCUCCACAAGGACAGACCAUAGUAUGGACUUUCAUGUAUGUUCAUGAGAUGCAGUCAGUAUGUGAGAUGAGGAUAAUUAAAGAGCAGAGAAAAGUAAAUGAGUGGAAUAAACUGCUUAAGAAGGAACCCAACGGAUGGCUUUGACAAAGCAGCUUUGAGGGACUGAAUUUUCUGCA
rnacentral:lncRNA from 1 species